rnacentral:lncRNA from 1 species
GUGAGAUGAGCAGAGAUCUUCUAAAUAAGGCUAGUCUGAGCAUUGAUGCUGAUUUUGAUAUCAGUAUCGUGCCUCAUAGUAGCUCCUCUGACAACAGGGAUAACAUUGAUGAAAGUGGGUGUCUUGCUAAAGUUAAAACUGAAGUUGCAAACCUUUCAGCUUUGACUGAGCAGCUUCUUAAAGAGGCUGGUGUUAAAUAAGGCUAGUCUGAGCACUGUUACUGAUUUUGAUAUCAGUAUCGUGCCUCAUAGUAGCUCUUCUGACAACAGGAUAACAUUGACAAAAGUGGUUAUCUUGGUAAAGUUAAAACUGAGGUGGGAAACCUUUCAACUUUGACUGAGCGGCUUCUUAAAGAGGCUGGUGUAAUAGGUGAGUAAAAUAGCAAAGGUAGCUUGUGCGUUUGGUGACCAACAUCUAUGUAGAUAUCUAACAAUUGCUUGGUAUACUUUCUUAU